GCCAGGCGCCGUGGCCCAUGCCUGUAAUUCCAGUGGCUUGGAAGGCUGAGGCAGGAGGAUCGCGAGUUCAAAGCCAGCCUCAGCAACCUAAUUAGGUCCUAAGCAACUUAGUGAGACCCUGUCUCUA
rnacentral:sRNA from 1 species